ACUCUUCUGAAUUCUGACUCAGAAAGGCUGAGUGAAGUUAGAAUUUAAAAUCAAAAGGUAGAGAGAGAUGGAGCAAUUACAGUCUGUGAACAAACUGUUCAAUGGAGGGUGAAGAGCGGGAGAACAUGCAGUGACAUUGUGAGCUUCAACUCAGCUCUCCAGGGCCCAGCACAGAAUGUCAGGGAGGGGACCUCUGAACAGGUCUAUACCACCUUCACUCAAACUACAGAUCCUUAUGAAGUCUAGCAAAGGAGACUGCAGAAGAGUGACCACAGGGAGUUCCCAAUUCCUCACAUGUUUCAGCUUCUAUAAAAUGUCAUAUAUGGGGAUGAAGAGAUGGCUCAGCUGUUGAGAGUACAAACUGCUCUUGCAGGGGACCUGGGAUCAGUUCCUGGCUCAUAAUCUUUACCCUCUGCUACAUCAGUUCCAUAGGAUCCAACACCUUGUCAGGUAUGAGGUUUUGCAAGGGCUGACCACUCUGCACUGGACAGCCAAUAAACCUCUUUCUAGCAAAUGGAAACCAUCACAGAAAAACCACAACUGGACCCAAGGCAGAGAUGCACAGAUAGUGGAGAGCCCAGCCCCAGCUCAGCACAGUGACCAACCAAGCCAAAUAUCUUCUUGAACUGGUACACGAUGAAUGAAGAAUGUUCGCUGAGAGCUUGUUGGAAGGAGAAAUGAAGAGAGAGGCCAGUUUUAGGCCAGCGUUUUCUGGAGCUGAGGAGGUCGAGUGCUGUUCGUCCUUUGGAUACCAAUGUAUCAUCAGCUGCAUGGCUUGACUGUGUUUGUUCCCAUAACAUAAACUACCUCUUUACUGUG
rnacentral:lncRNA from 1 species